GGAGGCGGAGGCGGAGGCGGAGGCGGAGGCGGAGGCGGAGGGCUUUUCCCAGGAAGAGCAGAGGGAGCAGGUGGAGGCCAGCAAACAGCUGGAGCCUGAGAGGGGCCCCGCCUCCGACACGGCCGACCCACUGCAGAGAUACAUGUCCAUGGUCAUGCAGGGGCCAGAGACUGAGCGCCAACAGAGCCCAAGGGGGGAGGAGGCCGAGCGGAGGAGCCUGGAGCUGGACAUUUCAUCUGAUAAAGACAACAGUGUUGCUGCUUUUUCACACGAAGAGGCUGAUGAAGACUUCUGGUGAAAUAGAACUAUUGUCCACAUGAUGCAGUUUACAAAUGAAUUUUUUUUUAAUAUAUUUUUUUUAUAUUUAUUUAUUUGUGUUCAGCUUUCAGAUUUUAUGUAGUGUGAAUUUGUUUCUGUUAAUACAAACUGAAUAAAAUCGAUAAAUGAAAACAUUCUUUUGUGGUUGUGGUUCCUUCUGUGUUAUGUUUUUUAUUUUUAUUCAAUUUUGUCAAUUGUCAUGGCAUGUUUCUGCCUGGCCUUUAAUAUGCUGUGAGUUGGGGGAAAGGUGGGUGUAGAGCUGGCAUAAGGAAAACAUGAACACAUGGAAGAUCUUUUGCAUUUAGUGGCUUUAUUUUUGAUGUAAUAAAAACAAGUACCAGGCUGGUUGACAAAUGUCCAAAGGUAUCACUUCAAAACAAAAAAUGGACUUCCUGACACAUUGGGCAGUGGGAAGCUUUUUUUUUAAUUUAUGUCUGAUGUUUGGUUGGGUCGUUUUCUUUCGAUGUUCAGUACAUGUUUUUGUCCUUUAAUGCUCAAAAACACUUAAAUUAUGAAGAUACACUCGUACUCUUGCUACUGUACAUUUGAGACUACCCUUUCCCAAUAUUCAUCAACACAAUUUGGUCAAAAACUAAACUUAGGUCCAGAGGACUAAACAAUCACUGUACAUGGUACUGUCCAUGUAACAUUCUGGGCCAGAUUGCCUGUUUUGUCUCUAUUAAACUAGGGGUCAACUUUGUAAUAACCAAUGGAUGCCAUCAUAAAAAUGUAUUUGAUAAC
ensembl:lncRNA